AUGUUUUGCGAUUCUUUAUUGGUUCUUAUGUUAUGUGAGAUUUUUUGGUUGGUAUGUGUAGAAGUUUAUGCCGUGUUUGAUUUCGCAAGUUCUGUUGAUCCUACCAAAGUACUAGGUAUUGGGAAUUCAAGUGCAAGUUUGGAUUUUUGUCUGUUAAAGACUUGA